AAACUCUCACACUGAUAAUAGCGUGCAGCUGAUUCAUAUGGAAAUCCAGUGAAAGAACAAUUGAAUGUGUAAAAAGGUCAUCAUAAAAGCAGUCUGAAAUAUCACACAAUAGGGGCAGAAAGUUGGGGCAUGCAUUGUGCCCCUCAUACACAACAAAGAAUCAGGCUCAGGCCAGCAGUAGCCCCACUCCUGAAUGGAGUUUGGAAUUGGGGUACCUUACCCAGCCUAAACAACACCAUUGUCCUAUAGUUUGGAUUGCUCUGUCCAAUUCCACAUUGAUUCUGUACUUUUCCUGACUAUAAUGGUCUGUCGUAGAAGCCAGGAAUAGGACACAAAAACAAAGGAUCACUGACAGCCAUACAAAAAUGCAAGAAAACCAAGAUGACAGCUGCACAGGGUCAAGUGAUGACGUAAGGACGACAGACAAGCGCGUAGCACAACAGCAGCGCCGGUGUGCACCAACGGGCCAAUAGGAGAGCAACACGGUGGACUCGUCUUGUGAACGGCUCGGCAGUUCGAGCGCCCACCGUUUGUGCGUCUAGCCGUUGGAAACGAUGGAGGAGCGUUUCUUGUCUGCGCAUGCGGCUAGACGGCGGAUUGAGUCUUGACUCAGACCGUUUCCAGUUCCUUACCUUUCGCGGACAUAGUGCCAAACGAAGGAGGCAACGAUCCUUGUCGUGCACGGGUUCAGCGCGGUGAAGCUGCGAGUCCCAGCGGCCGAGCAGUCUGUAGUUGGGACGGGAGGGGGACGGGACACGGAAGCGAUUCUGGCGACGUGAGGCACAAACUGUUUCGGUUACCCUUGCAGCUGCGCAGUGGGGACUUGGGCGCGUCUGGCAAACGGGUGCCCGCUAGAAGGGCGUGCUUAGGUGGUGGCUGCGCCCGUCCCUUCCAGCGUUUGUAGUGAACGGCUUUGAACGACCACUGUGUGUCCCAUCCUUUCUCACGCACCCCUUGAUAUUUCAGGGGCCCGCUUGCCUUCCAUUUCUUUCUCUGUCUGCUGAAGCAAACCUUGCCCUGUUUCCAAGAUUGGCACUAGGUUCCUGCCAGAGUUUCUGUGCCUCCUGAUGACAACAAGCAAACAUUCAACAGCUUCUGUUUUCUUUGGCAGAUGCAGCAGUAAUUGGCACUGUUCCCAUCCAUCAGUAAUUUUACUGCUCAUUUGGUUUGGUGUCAGUGAUUUUUCUAGGGAUGCAAGGGACUACAGUGAAAGACAAUGUAGUCACUUUGACUAGCAAAUUUGCUUGCCUGUAAACAAAUAUUUCUAAACCAUGAAGCAAGCUUUGUUUUCAGAUGAUGCACGUGUGUUGUCGUAGACAUUGUCUUAAGAGAACUUUCUUGAUUUCAGAAAGGAAAGUGCCUCUUUUACAACAGUGCUUGCCAUCUGUACCUUCCCCCUUUUUAUUAAGUUUAUUUUAUUCAUAUCUCAUAAUUUAGAGAAAUUUCUUUCAAGUCUCAUUUCCAUAGUUCAUUUUCCAAUAGUUUACAAAACCAGACUGCCUUUCAGCAAGCUUUACAUUAUGGAUACUUGAGUUUUUCUUCUAUCUAAAAUUGUUAGGUUAGUCCAUUUCUGCCAACUCCAAACACUUCAGUAGCUUUUCCGAUAUGAAUAGAUCUCGUGGGUUUCACCAUAUAGGAGCCUAAACUAUUGUAGCUGCUAUUAACAUGAUCUUAACUAAGACUUUUGUUCUCCAGGAAUAUCCCCCUCAAUCCAGUUGAACAAAAUCAGCACUGGCAAUGUGCAGUUUUUUAUAAGUUCUUGUAGUCAAAAUUGUAGUCAAAUUUCAAAUGUGUAGUUUUUAUAAGUUUUUGUAGUUAAAAUUGUAGUCAAAUUUCUAAAAAAAAACCCUCUUGCAAUUCAGUUGAAAAAGGACAUUUUUUUAGUUAAUUAACAUUUUCUUGAUUUUAAAUUGAUUAAAUGUUGCAAUGCCAGAAUUUUUUUUGGGGGGGGGAGGGAUAUGAACCUGUGUUUUUUCAUUGAUCUCACCUGCUACUUCAUCAAGCAUCAGCCCUGAACUCCCCCCCUCACAUGCUGCUUCAUUAAUCAUUACUCCUGACCACUAAAACAGGUUACACACAUUGCCUGUCAAAACUUCAUCAGGUGUUUCCUCCCCCUCCCAUUGACAUUCACCUGGGUUUGGGCACUGACCACAUAUUUUUUUAAAUUGCAAAUUGGCAACUCCAGUAUUGAGGAAACUAUCACCUGUUUAAUUAAUGCCGAUCAAAUAAUUGUAACGGUUAAGAGGCCCUGCUGGGGCAAGGUGACAAUUGCAACACAUACACUGGUUUCUGAAGCAAAUGCCAGGAAUUACGUGCUAUUCAUUUGUCUACUUUGCUAGUGGACUGCUGCUAUGCAGAAUUAGGAAUGCCAUAGCAGCUGGCUAUAAAGUGACUUACUUGUCCUAGGUAGGUUGAAGGAAAUGUUAACUAAGAAGGUGACAUGUAGGACUGGAUAAAUGCAUUCUGUUUUCCAGUUACUUCUGAAUAGCUGUGACAAAAAAUAGCUAUUGGGUGUAGGAAAUAGGGCAUUGGUAUCCCACUUACUGGUCUGAAAUGUGAUCUUGAACUCAAGUUCUAGAGCUGAGCUUUUGCCACAAACAGGCCUGGAAGUUUCAUUUUUGUUGUGUUUGAUAAUCUUCUCAAGCUGAGCAAAAACUAGGUGAGGGGUCAGUAAAUAAUGUUAUUUCUUCUCCUGUCCUAUCCUUGUCCUUUAAGGAAAAAGAACUCACUUCCGGCUGACCUUUGUAAAGUUACCACACUUAAGGUUUUCAGAAAGGCCUUGAAAGCCCACUUGUUCUCAGUUGCUUACUCGUGAGUGAUAUUCCUAACUUAUUAUUGUGCUUAGGGUUGCCAGGCUUGGGGCCUGAGACUGAUCCUGUAUCUUU